rnacentral:rRNA from 1 species
GUCCACGCUGUAAACGAUGAGCACUAGGUGUGGGGGUUCAGUCCCUUCCGUGCCGCAGCUAACGCAUUAAGUGCUCCGCCUGGGGAGUACGGCCGCAAGGUUGAAACUCAAAGGAAUUGACGGGGCCCGCACAAGCGGUGGAGCAUGUGGUUCAAUUCGAUGCAGAGCGAAGAACCUUACCUGGGCUUGACAUGCAGGAAGUAGAAACCGGAAACGGCAACGACCUGUUAAGUCAGGAACCUGCACAGGUGGUGCAUGGCUGUCGU